AACGAACGCUGGCGGCAUGCCUAACACAUGCAAGUCGAACGAGACCUUCGGGUCUAGUGGCGCACGGGUGCGUAACGCGUGGGAACCUGCCCUUAGGUUCGGAAUAACUCCCCGAAAGGGGUGGUAAUACCGGAUAAUGUCUUCGGACCAAAGAUUUAUCGCCUUUGGAUGGGCCCGCGUUGGAUUAGCUAGGUGGUAGGGUAAAAGCCUACAAAGGCGACGAUCCAUAGCUGGUCUGAGAGGAUGAUCAGCCACACUGGGACUGAGACACGGCGCAGACUCCUACGGGAGGAAGCAGUGGGGAAUAUUGGACAACGGGCGAAAGCCUGAUGCAGCAAUGCCGCGUGAGUGAUGAAGGACUUAGGGUUGUAAAGCUCUGUUACCCGGGAUGAUAAUGACAGUACCGGGAGAAUAAGCUCCGGCUAACUACGUG
rnacentral:rRNA from 1 species